rnacentral:rRNA from 1 species
UACGAAGGUGGCAAGCGUUGUUCGGAUUUACUGGGCGUAAAGGGUGCGUAGGUGGCGGGGUAAGUCAGGUGUGAAAUCUCCGGGCUUAACCCGGAAAGGUCAACUGAUACUGCAGGGCUAGAGUGCAGAAGGGGCAACUGGAAUUCUCGGUGUAGCGGUGAAAUGCGUAGAUAUCGGGAGGAACACCAGUGGCGAAGGCGGCGAUCUGGGAAGAUACUGACGCUGAGGUGCGAAAGCGUGGGGAGCAAACAGG